UGGGGAAUCUUAGACAAUGGGGGCAACCCUGAUCUAGCCAUGCCGCGUGAGUGACGAAGGUCUUAGGAUCGUAAAGCUCUUUCGCCGGGGAAGAUAAUGACGGUACCCGGUAAAGAAGUCCCGGCUAACUCCGUGCCAGCAGCCGCGGUAAUACGGAGGGGACUAGCGUUGUUCGGAAUUACUGGGCGUAAAGCGCGCGUAGGCGGAUAUUUAAGUCAGGGGUGAAAUCCCGGGGCUCAACCCCGGAACUGCCCUUGAUACUGGAUGUCUGGAGUUCGAGAGAGGUGAGUGGAAUUCCGAGUGUAGAGGUGAAAUUCGUAGAUAUUCGGAGGAACACCAGUGGCGAAGGCGGCUCACUGGCUCGAUACUGACGCUGAGGUGCGAAAGUGUGGGGAGCAAACAGGAUUAGAUACCCCCGUAGUCC
rnacentral:rRNA from 1 species